rnacentral:rRNA from 1 species
CCCGCUGAACUUAAGCAUAUCAAUAAGCGCAGGAAAAGAAACCAACAGGGAUUGCCUCAGCAACGGCGAGUGAAGCGGCGACAGCUCAAAUUUGAAAUCUGGCCUCUCGGGGUCCGAGUUGUAAUUUGUAGAGGAUGUUUCGGGCACCGCCCUGGCCUAAAUUUCUUGGAACAGAAUGUCAAAGAGGGUGAGAAUCCCGUCUUGGGCCGGCGGUAGGGCCUAUGUGAAACUCCUUCGACGAGUCGAGUUGUUUGGGAAUGCAGCUCAAAAUGGGUGGUAAAUUUCAUCUAAAGCUAAAUAUUGGCCAGAGACCGAUAGCGCACAAGUAGAGUGAUCGAAAGAUGAAAAGCACUUUGAAAAGAGAGUUAAACAGUAUGUGAAAUUGUUGAAAGGGAAGCGCUUGCAACCAGACUUGAGCGCGGUGGUUCCCCCUGGCUUCUGCCCGGGCUACUCCGCCGCGUCCAGGCCAACAUCGGUUCUGGGGGCCGGUCAAAGGCCCCGGCAAUGUAUCUACCCCCGGGUAGACUUAUAGGCCGGGGUGUCAUGCGGCCUCCUGGGACCGAGGAACGCGCUCCGGCUCGGAUGUUGGCGUAAUGGUUGUCAGCGACCCGUCUUGAAACACGG